UCCUCCAGUCAUCUGAAUCAAACAGAUCACAGUUCAUAGGUACUCAUCCCGAGAGGGCUUUAUAGCGGCAAGAACGCAAAUAAAACACCAAUUACAGCGGCUGUUGGCAACCCUCCUGCUUUCUGACAGUAGUGCAGGUGGCAAUCCACUGCUAAAGCACCCAAUUUAAACCCCUAGAGGAGACACAACACCGUCUGGCGUACUAUACAGUAAUACCCACAGAGGAACAAAGUGCAUUGUCUUGUGGAGGAUUUAAUAAAAGCUGCUAUGGUUUAGGUACCAAGUAAGCUAAGAGAUCAGUAAAGAUCUGGGUGACAUAGUGGGAUGAGGAGGUUGGAGGGUGGGCAGUCUCAGGUGAAGUUGGGAGUCGGAGUGGAGGAUGAGGUGGGCAGGAGUACCAGGGGGUGGCAGGCAGAGAUGACUCACAGGUCCCUGGUUGACCACCCUUAGCAGGAUGCAUCUGUUUUUCAGGGAUUCAGCUACUGUAAUUUAACCUUGCUUCCUUUUCCGCUAAAAGGCGGAUGUGGGAACUCCACUGAGGUGUUUCUUCUAACCCUGCUACGUUAGGUUACUGGUUGACAGAUGCUCCCACAAAGAAAGCCCCUAACAGGAUGACGCUGGCGCUGUAGGGCCCAUGGGGUAAAGACGGAUUAUGUCUGAGCAGUAGAUUAUUCCCGAAACAGCACCUGCUUCUUUUACCCUGACACUCUUCGAGCGCAUCCACACAGCCAAGUUGGACCAGGAGAGCUCGCCUAGUUCCAUGCCAUGUCUGUCAGAUGCCACCCUUGAAUUCUCACCAUCAGCGGGGAAACCAAGUCAAAGCCUUAGCCUAUAUGACCAGCCUCCUCUAAUCGACCCCCAGAUAUUUAGUGAUCCUAAGGACUGUGUUAGCAUUCAUGGGCACCACAUGAGAUAAAAAAUAAGCCCAGGUGCAGAGUUUAUACUGGUUUCAAUAUGCCUUGGAAAUAUGGAUUCUUUGUUCUUACACUAUUCAUCUUCACUCUCCAAGCCACAGGAAUUAAAGAGAGGAAUAAUCGGGGCUCUUGGCAGAGUGGAGUUAUCGGGACAGAAACAGAAGCCAUCAAUUCCAUGCACUUGGCUGAACUUUUGAGAACGACCAAACAAAACUCUAAUGUCAGAAUGAUAUUUGACCUAGAAAAGCAUCGUACAAAGAGGUCAGCGGUCUUUCACUCUGGAGUGCGAGUCUGUCCUCAGGAGACCAUCAAUGAGGUCAUCGCCAGCCAUCAAGCCUACUACAAGCUCAGAGUUUGUCAGGAGGCUGUGUGGGAGGCCUUCCGGAUCUUCUUUGACCGGAUCCCUGGAUCUACAGAAUAUACAGCCUGGGUUCACACAUGUCAACAUGAGUCUCUGUGCCUCUCUGACCUGGCCAGUAACUUCAGCAACUCAGAGGAGCACAUGAGUAUGGUGUACAGGAGGAUGAACCUGGGAGAUGAGAGGCAGCCGACUGGAAUGGUAGCAGCCACAACCACAGCAGCACCGGAGGUCGCUGAUAUAACAGGUCCAGAGGAGGCCCAGACUGCAACACCAGAACCACCUGCUCCUGUAACCGGCAUUGCCAGCGUCCCUGAUGCUCCCGAGGUUACAGUUGAAGUAGAAACUGUGGAGGAGGAGGACUCUGAGCUGCCCAAUGUUGUCCCAGAGCAGCCUGUGGAGGCGAUAGUGGAGUUCAGCAUUGACCUCGUGGACCCAGGCUACAAGGAACUACUGGACGACCCUGACUCCCCCCAAUAUGUUGACCUCUCUCAUCACCUGCAAGACCAGAUGCUCCAUGUUUUUGACAAACUCCCAGGAUUUAAAGAUAUCAAUGUUUUGGGAAUCAGCGAGACCCAGGAGAGUGACGGACCUGGAGCAGUGACAGUGCACUAUUCCCUGGUCUUUGAGACAAUUUCAACAGAAGUUUCAGAGGAUGACACAGGGACUCCAGUGUCAGCUGUGCCCAGCCUGCGGGAAAGGGUGGCCAACGCUUUAAGUGAAGAGGCCUCUCUACCAGUGGAUCUACAGUCAUUAAACUUUGAACCAGUAAAAGUGAUUCCAUUAACUACAACACCUAUUGAGGAAGCUGUUGAGGAAGUGAUUGAGUAUUCCAGUACGACAUCAAUCCACAACGACCUGGAAAUAGCCAUAGAUGAGCCAGAGAUUGCUGGGGAGAAGCCUCGUCUGGAUGUUCCACUCGGCCCUGUGGAAAAGAAAAAUGCCCUUGUCACCCUCCUGGACUCUACAGACAUUCCAGAUGAAGAAGAAGAAAAAGCCCCACCAGAGAGGGGUGAUGUGCCUUACAUCUACGAAGAUGUUGAUGAAAGUGAUUUUAAAGCAACAGCUGAACCAGAGGAAGAGGUGCCAUUUAUCACACACAUGAUUGAAACCAUCCAUGCCAUUGAUGAGGGAACUGGUGAGCUUGUCAGAGACUAUUUCCCAACCCCUCCUGCUGAGGACUCUGCUGCUGAGCCCAGCGUUCCAGAGGAAUACCCUGAGCCACCUUUUGGCAAUUUAGUUCCUACUAAUGGGUACCCUGUCUUACCCCCUGAGGAUAUGGAUAUUACCUCCGUUCCUGAAAUAGAAAGUAUAGAAACUGAUGCUCCAGCUGAACUCCCUCCUAACUUGAUAUCAGAGGAGAAGGCUGUUGUUGAGGAGGAGGCAGAGCAUACUCCAACCCCUCAGAUUCUGCUCACCACAGCCACUGAAGAAGAGCUGUCUGACCCUGGAUUACCUGUAACGACUCUCUCAGCCAUCACAGAUCAGCCUACUACUGAAGCAAUAGAGGACCUUGAAGUUGAGGAGAAUCUUAUUCCGAUUGAAGAGGAAGAAGUUGAGGAACCAGAACCUGAGGAAGAGGUAGUUGAGCUAUCGGGACCUGAAGCAGAGGUAGUUGAGCUAUCGGGACCUGAGGAAGGGGUAGUUGAGGUUUCGGGACCUGAGGAAGGGGUAGUUGAGGUUUCGGAACCUGAGAAAGGGGUAGUUGAGGUCUCGGAACCUGAGGAAGAGGUAGUUGAGCUAUCGGGACCUGAGGAAGAAGUAGUUGAGCUAUCGGGACCUGAGGAAGGGGUAGUUGAGCUAUCGGGACCUGAGGAAGGGGUAGUUGAGGUUUUGGAACCUGAGAAAGGGGUAGUUGAGGUCUCAGAACCUGAGGAAGGGGUAGUUGAGGUCUCGGAACCUGAGGAAGGGGUAGUUGAGGUCUCAGAACCUGAGGAAGGGGUAGUUGAGGUCUCGGAACCAGAGAAAGGGGUAGUUAAGGAACCGGAACCUGAGGAAGAGGUAGUUGAUGUACCAGAACCUGAAGAAGAGGUAGUUGAGGAACCAGAACCCGAGGAAGGGGUAGUUGAGGAACCAGAACAUGAGGAAGAGGUAUUUGAGGAACCAGAACCUGAGGAAGAUGUUAAUGAACCACCAGCAGAAGAAAUUAAAAUCAUCCAACCUCUGGAAUCUGUAGAGGACACUCUCUUUGGAGAGGAAACUUAUCCUGUUGAAGAGGACAAUAUUGUGCCAAUAGAAGACCAGUCAUCUGAGGAGGACAUGGAGGAACUAUUGCCUGAAUACCCUGGAUAUGAGGACAUCUACCCUGACGAAGUUGUUGAUACUGUGGACCAAUCAGAUCAUUCACCAGAGGUCAGUGAAGUGGAAGAGGCUGCAUUGCCAGAGGUCAGUGAAGUGGAAGAGGCUGCAUUGCCAGAGGUCAGUGAAGUGGAAGAGGCUGCAUUGCCAGAGGUCAGUGAAGUGGAAGAGGCUGCAUUGCCAGAGGACAGUGAAGAGGAAGAGGCUGCAUUGCCAGAGGUCAGUGAAGUGGAAGAGGCUGCAUUGCCAGAGGUCAGUGAAGUGGAAGAGGCUGCAUUGCCAGGGGACAGUGAAGUAGAAUUGGCUCCAUUGUCAGAGGUCAAUGAAGUGGAAUUGGCUCCAUUGCCAGGGGACAGUGAAGUGGAAUUGGCUCCAUUGCCAGGGGUCAGUGAAGUGGAAUUGGCUCCAUUGCCAGGGGUCAGUGAAGUGGAAUUGGCUCCAUUGCCAGGGGACAGUGAAGUGGAAUUGGCUCCAUUGCCAGGGGUCAGUGAAGUGGAAUUGGCUCCAUUGCCAGGGGACAGUACAGUGGAGAUAGCAAUGACAGCAGAACCAAUCCCAGACUCUUCACCAACACCACCUGCAGAAUCUGGCACUGUGCCUGAGGUAGAUGAAACAGAGUCAGCUUCAGAGUUACAACCUACGGAGGAGGAUGCCGAGGAGCCUGAGGUGGUUGUUAUCGAUGAAGAGGAGGCUGAAGAGGAGGUCAUAGAUGUCUCGGAACCUGAGGAUGAGAGCGUGCAAGACCUUGCAGACAAUUUUGACCAAAUGGACCUGGUGAGCACCGAGGCCAUUGACCUUCCAGAUGCCAGUGGAUACCCAUUGGCUCCCGAGGAGCACCCCUUUGAGACCACAGCGUCUCCACCACUGAGAUACCUGACCACGCCCUCCAUGACCACGGCCAGUAAAGGAAGGGAGCUGGUAGUGUUCUUCAGUCUACGGGUCACCAACAUGAGGUUCUCAGAUGAUCUCUUCAACAAGAGCUCUUCAGAAUACAGAUCCCUGGAGAACACCUUUGUGGAGCUGCUGAUCAAGCAGAUCCCUGUAAGUUCUUGGCGUGCAACGACUUCUCUCGCUGUGUGGUGAACCGCUGGUCUCGGGAGGCCGAGUGUCUGUGUGACCCGGGCUACAUUACGUUGGACGGUUUGCCCUGUCAGAGUAUCUGUGUCCUGCAGCCUGACUACUGCCAAAACGGGGGUCAGUGUGAGAUAGUGCCUGGGCAUGGAGCCACUUGCAGAUACCCAGACAAGUAUACAAGUCUUCCCGGCAUGACAAGUUAAUAAAAUCGAGGGUUGAAUGACAUCAACACUAUGUACUGGGACAUGGCGACUGCAGAAGACAGCGGUUGGAUCACUGCAGAAGACAGCGGUUGGAUCACUGCAGAAGACAGCCUUUGGAUCACUGCAGAAGCAACAAAGUACCGUUUAUAAAGGAUAUUUAAUAGCUGAUGCAGUUAACAGACUGUUGUGACUGCAGAAAGACAUUGAUCUGCGGUCUUCUGAUUGACAGGCAGACACAACCCCUUCAUCUCAUCUUUCCAAAGCCUGUGUUUCACCUGAAAGGAUACUCCCCAAACUGUGGACGACAAACAGAUGUGAUCAUUUCGCUGCAUUUAUCAAGUUGCAAAGGCACCCCAGGACAGCAAACUGCUUUUAUACAUAAUGUGCUGACAAUGUAGUAGCACUUAAAAAAAUAAAAUAAAAAUGCCAGAAGAAAAGUGAUGUUUUCCUCAUGAGGUAUGUAUGUUGCAAUGGAGUAUAGUUAAUAUCACAUACUGUACACCUGUCUCUGUAUUGGUUUAAUAUUGAUAAUUGUAUAAAGUCCAUCUGUUUCCUCAGUGUCGUCAAACAUCUGUUCUGUACACAUCAGGGAAAUGAACUACUCACUGUCUUCAAUAGGGCUUUUUUAACUGUGUGUAUUUUUGCUGCUGUACCAUUACCAUGUGGAGGAAUAGAGUGAUGUCAAACACGAGGGCCAAAAGCAGUUGAGUGAAGCAUGAAAUGCGUUUAUUUCAGUUAGAGAUCAGCAUUGGAAAAGGCAGUAUCUGAGGAAUGAUUGCUAUGCGUGUUGUGAGAUACAGAGCAUAUGGAAGCCAGUCAGUCAUUUGUUGUACAUUACAAGCGAUAUUCAAGGAGACCCCACACUACAGUAGUAAACUCUGCUGUUUGUCAGAAAUACAUACUUCGGGCUAAACUGAAGACAUGCUUUAGACACGAGCAUGAGUGGAUAGAUUUCAAACAACCACAACGUCGCCUUUCGCUUGUGCAGAGUGUCUAAGGGAAUGAGAAGAAACUCAAGACUAACAGCCUUACCUGAAGAGAGUAGUUCUAGUCUCACAAGAUUGUCAUGUAC